rnacentral:lncRNA from 1 species
AUUUUUCACUUGGUUGGCUUUUAAAUGUUAUUAGAUAUGUUCUCCUUUUUUUUUUUUUCAUCUUUUCACUUCUUUUUCUUUCCUUUAUUGUUUUAUAUAUUUAAUUGUUUUUUUUAAUUUUGGCGAGACGUGAGGGGCCAGAUAGAAAAAGUGCUCUUGACUGCAAGUGCUUUGAAAGGGUGUUGGAACGUCAACCUUCAAUGAGCAGAAAGUGGGUUUCCAAAGAUUUUCUGCCUCCAGAAUUUUAUUUAUUUGACACAGAGAACAGAAGCAGAGGCCGAGGGAGAAGCAGAGUCCCUGCAGAGCACGGAGCUCGAUGGGGGCUCGACCCCAGGGCCCCGGGAUCUGACCGAGCUGAAGGCAGCCGCUGAGCCGACUGAGCCACCUGGGCGACCGUUUGGUUAUUUCUUACCAACUCCUUGGCAAGUUGUCACAACCAGUUCUGGACUUGCAGGAAUAUAUUUGCAGGUACAGCAGGCUCCUGGCCCAGGGACUCAAACCAAAGACCCUCUCUGAUGGGAAACACGUCCCUGCCCUCUGAGCUGCGAUUCGGGACCCUUGUCUAUGGGAGCAUCGCAGCACGGUUUCCUAAGACUCUCAGGACACAACUUGGCUUCAGUGGUUUUAGCGCCCUGCUGUCUCCAGGGAGGAUGCAAACCGAGUCUUAGAGACCUAACUCGGCCCAAACUCUUCAAACACCGGCCCCGUGGAAGCUGGAGGGUGCCUUUAUGUUCAGAGAUAUCAAAGAAAUCCUCCCUGGCUUCCUUUCGAGCUCUCUCGGAUGUCUUGAACAUUCCAGCAAGCCCCAGCUCGGAGUCGGCGGGAAGCGGGAAGGCACACGCUCUUGAACUUUUGAACUCAGCCACAGCAUCUAUUUUCUCCAUUCUGUUUGUUGACUCCUCUUUGAUCUCAUCUUAUUAGAAGGAUAAUA